UACGUAGGCAGCAAGCGUUGUUCGGAGUUACUGGGCGUAAAGGGUGUGUAGGCGGUUCUUUAAGUUUGGUGUGAAAUCUCCCGGCUCAACCGGGAGGGUGCGCCGAAUACUGAGGAGCUAGAGUGCGGGAGAGGAAAGUGGAAUUCCUGGUGUAGCGGUGAAAUGCGUAGAUAUCAGGAGGAACACCGGUGGUGUAAACGGCUUUCUGGACCGUAACUGACGCUGAGGCACGAAAGCGUGGGUAGCAAACAGG
rnacentral:rRNA from 1 species